GUCCUCGCGAAGGGUGCAGAGCACCCUAACUCGCACUCGCAAACGCUCGCGCGCGCGUGGCGUGGGCGAUGUGGCGCUUUGAUGGCGCACUUUGCACUUCGCGUCGCCGCGAUCCGCCUUUGUAUUUUUGACCACGUGCGCGUGGUGGAUCACAGAGGCUGCAAGGACCAAGUGGUGAAGUGGGGUGCAGGUUAGAGGUGCGUGACGUGGCAGUCCGCGCGCGAGUACAAGUGGCACGAAGGCGCGCGGUUGCGCAUGGUGCAUGGGCCCUGAUGUGACGUGCGCGGCGCACCAGAGUGAGCCAAAACGGCGCGACUGUGUGGCGUGCUCGUAUAGGCUCACAGGUGACGUGGCACACGCGCGCAUGCACCUGAGUCAGUGUGGCGCACGCGCGCAUGGCAGUGAGCCAGAUGGACGCAGCGCGCAUGAGCGUGCAGACCUGCGCGCGCAAGAACGCACGCGCACUAGUGUGUCACACGCGCGCGCGUAG
rnacentral:lncRNA from 1 species